ensembl:misc_RNA Metazoa_SRP Metazoan signal recognition particle RNA
GUCAGGUGUGGUGAUGCACGCCUGCAGUGCCAGCUACUUGGGAGGCUGAGGUAGGAGGAUCACUUGAGCCCAGGAGUUCAGGGCUGCAGUGAGCGACGAUCACGCCACUGCACUCCAGCCUGGGUGACAAAGUGAGACCCUGCCUCAA